CCUACGGGCGGCAGCAGUGGGGAAUAUUGCACAAUGGGGGAAACCCUGAUGCAGCGACGCCGCGUGAGUGAAGAAGUAAUUCGUUAUGGAAAGCUCUAUCCGCAGGGAAGAAAAUGACGGUACCUGAGUAAGAAGCCCCGGCUAACUACGUGCCAGCAGCCGCGGUAAUACGUAGGGGGCAAGCGUUAUCCGGAUUUACUGGGUGUAAAGGGAGCGUAGACGGCAGUGCAAGUCUGGAGUGAAAGGCGGGGGCUCAACCCCCGGACUGCUCUGGAAACUGUACGGCUGGAGUGCUGGAGAGGUAAGUGGAAUUCCUAGUGUAGCAGUGAAAUGCGUAGAUAUUAGGAGGAACACCAGUGGCGAAGGCGGCUUACUGGACAGUAACUGACGUUGAGGCUCGAAAGCGUGGGGAGCAAACAGGAUUAGAUACCCGGGUAGUC
rnacentral:rRNA from 1 species